GCUGACCGUUGUCCGAACUUUUAAGAUGUUUUAUAAAACUUUACUAGACCUAUAACCCGAGGUCAGUUUGGCAACUGCUGAAGUUUUAUUGUACAGACACGUUCAAUAGUUUAUAAAAGUGCUUAUUUGACAUAUUUGAAAUGUCCUACGCUUGAAAAUGUAUAGAACAUUUAAACAAUAAUUUUAUGUAAAAUAGUUUACAAAGUAGAACUU
rnacentral:lncRNA from 1 species